GUAUGCGUAGAAGUGUUUGGCGUAAGCCUACAUGAAGCCAUCAUUGGCACAGAUCUUGGUGGUAGUAGCAAAUAAUCGAAUGAGACCUUGGAGGACUGAAGUGGAGAAGGGUUUCGUGUGAACAGUGGUUGAUCACGAGUUAGUCGGUCCUAAGUUUAAGGCGAAAGCUGAAAAUUUUCAAGUUAAUUAAAUAUUUAUUUAUAUAUAAUAUACUUGAUGUUUUUGAACGAAAGGGAAUACGGUUCCAAUUCCGUAACCUGUUGAGUAUACGUUUGUUAUAAAUCUGGGCUUUUAGCUCAUCCUGGUAACAGGAACAACCAUAGAGAAGCCGUCGAGAGAUAUUGGAAGAGUUUUCUUUUCUGUUUUAUAAUCGUAUUACCAUGGAAGUCUUUCGAAGAGAGAUAUGGUAAAUGGAUUAGAAGAGCAUGGCAUUUACUGCUGUGUCAAUAUUUUCUCCUCGGACCUUGAAAAUCUAUGGUGGGGUCACGCAAAUUUCUCAACAGGCCGUACCGAUAUCCGCAGCUGGUCUCCAAGGUGAAGAGUCUCUAGUCGAUAGAAUAA
rnacentral:rRNA from 1 species